rnacentral:rRNA from 1 species
CCUACGGGUGGCAGCAGUGAGGAAUAUUGGUCAAUGGCCGUAAGGCUGAACCAGCCAAGUAGCGUGAGGGAAGACUGCCCUAUGGGUUGUAAACCUCUUUUAUGCGGGGAUAAAGGUGUCCACGUGUGGAUGUUUGCAGGUACCGCAUGAAUAAGGACCGGCUAAUUCCGUGCCAGCAGCCGCGGUAAUACGGAAGGUCCGGGCGUUAUCCGGAUUUAUUGUGUUUAAAGGGAGCGUAGGCCGGUCUUUAAGCGUGCCGUGAAAUUUUGUGGCUCAACCAUGAGAGUGCGGCGGGGACUGGAGACCGUGAGUGCGCGGAAGGCAGGCGGAAUUCGUGGUGUAGCGGUGAAAUGCUUAGAUAUCACGAAGAACCCCGAUUGCGAAGGCAGCCUGCCGCAGCGUUACUGACGCUGAAGCUCGAAAGCGCGGGGAUCGAACAGGAUUAGAUACCCCUGUAGUC